rnacentral:rRNA from 1 species
UCUCCUACGGGCGGCAGCAGUGGGGAAUAUUGGACAAUGGGGGAAACCCUGAUCCAGCGACGCCGCGUGAGUGAAGAAGUAUUUCGGUAUGUAAAGCUCUAUCAGCAGGGAAGAAAAAAUGACGGUACCUGACUAAGAAGCACCGGCUAAAUACGUGCCAGCAGCCGCGGCAAUACGUAUGGUGCAAGCGUUAUCCGGAUUUACUGGGUGUACAGGGAGCGCAGGCGGUACGGCAAGUCUGAUGUGAAAGCCCGG